rnacentral:rRNA from 1 species
UACGUAGGGGGCAAGCGUUGUCCGGAUUUAUUGGGCGUAAAGAGCGUGUAGGCGGUUCGGUAGGUCCGUUGUGAAAACUCGAGCUCAACCUCGAGACGCCGAUGGAAACCCCCGAACUAGAGUCCGGAAGAGGAGAAUGGAAUUCCUGGUGUAGCGGUGAAAUGCGCAGAUAUCAGGAAGAACACCCGUGGCGAAGGCGGCUCUCUGGAACGCAACUGACGCUGAGACGCGAAAGCGUGGGAGCAAACGGG